AUACCUUUCUUGGUCUUUUGGCUAAUAUCAAGUGUAAUAUCUGUUCUUAUUAGUGUAAUAUUUAAUACGUGGGUCAAUGGCCCACACGAUAUUAAAUUUAUUUUUUGAAGGGAAGGGUCCAUCACAGUGGCUUGCUGCUGGGGCUCUUGAGCGUUGCCUUGGCCUGGCUUACUCCACCCAAAUCUAGUACCAAUUUA